rnacentral:rRNA from 1 species
ACAUACCGAAAGGUAUGCUAAUACGAGAUAAUAUGUUUUUAUCGCAUGGUAGAAGUAUCAAAGCUUUUGCGGUACAGGAUGGACCCGCGUCUGAUUAGCUAGUUGGUGAGGUAACGGCUCACCAAGGCGACGAUCAGUAGCCGACCUGAGAGGGUGAUCGGCCACAUUGGAACUGAGACACGGUCCAAACUCCUACGGGAGGCAGCAGUGGGGAAUAUUGCACAGGGGGCGAAAGCCUGAUGCAGCAACGCCGCG